CUGCUUUGACUGCCGCGCGGGCUCCGCUUAGAG
rnacentral:sRNA from 1 species